GAACUCGUGGCGCAACGGUAUCGCGUCUGACUCCACAUCAGAAGGUUGCGAGUUUGAAUCAUGUCAGGGUCA
rnacentral:tRNA from 1 species